CACGUAGGGCGCAAGCGUUGUCCGGAAUUAUUGGGCGUAAAGAGCUCGUAGGCGGUCUGUUGCGUCCGCUGUGAAAACCCGGGGCUUAACCCCUGGCUUGCAGUGGAUACGGACAGACUAGAGGUAGGUAGGGGAGAAUGGAAUUCCCGGUGCAGCGGUGAAAUGCGCAGAUAUCGGGAGGAACACCGGUGGCGAAGGCGGUUCUCUGGGCCUUACCUGACGCUGAGGAGCCGAAAGCGUGGGGAGCGAACAGG
rnacentral:rRNA from 1 species